AGAACUAAAAAUGGCCAGAGGAGUAAUGUGGUUCAUCAGAUCUAUUAGGGGCAUGAAAUGCUGGAUCUCCAUUGCCUGAGUUUCAAGCCACACAAUAAAACAGAGUUUCUGUUCAAAUCAGGACUAGAGAUCAAAAUGUGAGUCAGGUUCAUUAAAGCUGCAAACAGAAACACCAGCUGGAGAUAGCAAUCUAGAG